CCUACGGGAGGCAGCAGUGAGGAAUAUUGGUCAAUGGGCGCGAGCCUGAACCAGCCAAGUAGCGUGAAGGAUGACUGCCCUACGGGUUGUAAACUUCUUUUAUAAAGGAAUAAAGUGAGGCACGUGUGCCUUUUGUAUGUACUUUAUGAAUAAGGAUCGGCUAACUCCGUGCCAGCAGCCGCGGUAAUACGGAGGAUCCGAGCGUUAUCCGGAUUUAUUGGGUUUAAAGGGAGCGUAGGUGGAUUGUUAAGUCAGUUGUGAAAGUUUGCGGCUCAACCGUAAAAUUGCAGUUGAAACUGGCAGUCUUGAGUACAGUAGAGGUGGGCGGAAUUCGUGGUGUAGCGGUGAAAUGCUUAGAUAUCACGAAGAACUCCGAUUGCGAAGGCAGUUCACUGGACUGCAACUGACACUGAGGCUCGAAAGUGUGGGUAUCAAACAGGAUUAGAUACCCUGGUAGUC
rnacentral:rRNA from 1 species